GACGAACGCUGGCGGCGUGCUUAACACAUGCAAGUCGAACGGAAAGGCCCUGCUUUUGUGGGGUGCUCGAGUGGCGAACGGGGGAGUAACACGUGAGUAACCUGCCCUUGACUUUGGGAUAACUUCAGGAAACUGGGGCUAAUACCGGAUAGGAUCUCCUGCUGCAUGGGGGGGGUUGGAAAGUUUCGGCGGUUGGGGAUGGUUUGGAGGGUUAUCAGCUUGUUGGUGGGGUAGUGGAUGACCAAGGUUUUGACGGGUAGCCGGCAUGAGAGCUUGGCCGGCCACCUUGCUCCUGCGGGACGCACCAGACUCCUACGGGAGGCAGAGGUGGGGAAUCUUACACAAUGGGCGGACGCCUGAUACAGCAACGCCCCGUUCGUGAUGCCGGCCUUCGAGUUGUAAACCGCUUUCGCCUGUGACGAAGCGUGAGUGACGGUAAUGGGUAAAGAAGCACCGGCUAACUACGUG
rnacentral:rRNA from 1 species